rnacentral:rRNA from 1 species
AUUGAACGCUGGCGGCAUGCCUUACACAUGCAAGUCGAACGGUAACAGGUCUUCGGAUGCUGACGAGUGGCGAACGGGUGAGUAAUACAUCGGAACGUGCCCGAGAGUGGGGGAUAACGAGGCGAAAGCUUUGCUAAUACCGCAUACGAUCUCAGGAUGAAAGCAGGGGACCGCAAGGCCUUGCGCUCACGGAGCGGCCGAUGGCAGAUUAGGUAGUUGGUGGGAUAAAAGCUUACCAAGCCGACGAUCUGUAGUUGGGCUGCGAGGACGACCAGCCACACUGGGACUGAGACACGGCCCAGACUCCUACGGGAGGCAGCAGUGGGGAAUUUUGGACAAUGGGCGCAAGCCUGAUACAGCCAUGACGCGUGCAGGAUGAAGGCCUUCGGGUUGUAAACUGCUUUUGUACGGAACGAAAAGACUCUGGUUAAUACCUGGGGUCCAUGACGGUACCGUAAGAAUAAGCACCGGCUAACUACGUGCCAGCCGCCGCCGUAAUAC